AGAUAUUUAUUGAAGCUGAAAAUAAUUGGGGAUUUAGAUCCAUACGGAAUUCAGUCAGAAUUGGAUUUUACAGUAAAGUGCAGUCCAUCAAGUUACUAUUAUAGAUAUGUAUUUAUACAGAUCUGGUGGAGUCUCACAGUUGCUACUCUAAGCAGCAGAUGAAAGCAUACAAAAGCCUUCAGGCACAUAAAUAUUUUACAGCUGGAUUUGUUUUGAAUGGAGUAAAAAUUGUUAAUGAUUUCCUGAUUUCCAUAUUAUUGUUGGAAAGUUGAAGAAUUUCC
rnacentral:misc_RNA from 1 species